rnacentral:rRNA from 1 species
UACGGAGGGUGCGAGCGUUGUCCGGAAUCAUUGGGCGUAAAGGGCGCGUAGGUGGCCCGGUCAGUCAGUGGUGAAAGCGCGGGGCUCAACUCCGCGUCGGCCAUUGAUACUGCUGGGCUUGAGCACUGUAGAGGCAGGCGGAAUUCCGGGUGUAGCGGUGGAAUGCGUAGAGAUCCGGAAGAACACCGGUGGCGAAGGCGGC